rnacentral:rRNA from 1 species
UACGGAGGAUGCGAGCGUUAUCCGGAUUUAUUGGGUUUAAAGGGUGCGUAGGCGGGCUUUUAAGUCAGCGGUAAAAAUUCGGGGCUCAACCCCGUCCGGCCGUUGAAACUGGGGGUCUUGAGUGGGCGAGAAGAAGGCGGAAUGCGUGGUGUAGCGGUGAAAUGCAUAGAUAUCACGCAGAACCCUGAUUGCGAAGGCAGCCUUCCGGCGCCCUACUGACGCUGAGGCACGAAAGUGCGGGGAUCGAACAGG